UAUCCUGUUAAACGACAAAUCUCCCAC
rnacentral:rasiRNA from 1 species